rnacentral:lncRNA from 1 species
GUGGGUGGGUGGGGAGGGAGGGAGGGAGACAUAUGGGACGUGUAUAGUAGCAGUGGGAACAUGUGGGUCUGAGCGGAAGUGAUGUCAUUGGUGUUUGGUAACGUUAGGGGUCUGUUUGGGGUCUUUGUUUACGUGUGUUGUCAUUGUAAAAUUCUAUUUAAAAAAUGAAAACACUCACACUUUACAGUUAUACAGUUUACAGUUAUACACUUUACAGUUAACACUCACACUUUACAGUUAUACACUUUACAGUUAACACUCACACUUUACAGUUAUACACUUUACAGUUAUACUACACUUUACAGUUAUACAGUUUACAGUUAUACACUUUACAGUUAUACACUUUACAGUUAACACUCACACUUUACAGUUAACACUCACACUUUACAGUUAUACACUUUACAGUUAUACAGUUUACAGUUAUACUACAUUUUACAGUUAUACAGUUUACAGUUAUACACUUUAAAGUUAUACACUUUACAGUUAAUAUGGGGCUAAAUAUAGGGGCUAUAUGGGGCUAAAUAUAGGGGCUAUAUGGGGCUAAAUAUAGGGGCUAUAUGGGGCUAAAUAUAGGGGCUAUAUGAGGCUAAAUAUAGGGGCUAUAAGGGGCUAAAUAUAGGGGCUAUAUGGGGCUAAAUAUAGAGGCUAUAUGGGGCUAAAUAUAGCGGCUAUAUAGGGCUAAAUAUAGGGGCUAUAUGGGGCUAAAUAUAGGGGCUAUAUGGGGCUAAAUAUAGGGUCUAUAUGGGGCUAAAUAUAGGGGCUAUAUGGGGCUAAAUAUAGGGGCUAUAUGGGGCUAAAUAUAGGGGCUAUAUGGGGCUAAUACUGGAAACCCCCUAACUGGAAAUUUCUCACCUGUCUGAACUCUUUAACCCUCUCAGAGACAGGACGUUUCUCACCUGUCUGAACUCAUUAACCCUCUCAGAGACAGGACGUUUCUCACCUGUCUCAUCUCUUUAACCAUCUCAGAGACAGGACAUUCCUCACCUGUCUGAACUCUUUAAACAUGUCAGAGACAGGACGUUUCUCAUCUGUCUGAACUCUUUAACCAUGUCAGAGACAGGACGUUUCUCACCUGUCUGAACUCUCAGAGACAAAGUCUGUAUCCCAAAUAGCACCAUAAUCCCUAGCCCCUGUACAGGGCAUUAUGACCUUUAGACCAGGGACGGCCCAUUUCACCAGCGAGGGCAAAAGUAGUGCACUGUAUAGGGUACGGGUAUUCAGAUUGGAUCCCUAUGAGGUCAAGAGCCCAUUGGUUCUCUGUUCUGGCUGAUCAUUAUUUACACCCACCUGUUGUCCCAGGUCUAAAUCAGGCCCUGAUUUAGAGGGGAAUAUCACCCACGUGUUGUCCCAGGUCUAAAUCAGGCCCUGAUUUAGAGGGGAUAUCACCCACUUGUUGUCCCAGGUCUAAAUCAGGCCCUGAUUUAGAGGGGAAGAAUGAAUAAAAACAGCGGAACUGUCUUCCAGGGCCAGAGUUGAAUUUGUGGAUUACAGGGGAAAAGGGCGCCAUUUGGGACAGAGCCAUAAUGUUUCUAAACCAUCUCUUCCUCUGGCUGCUACUAAACUGGAGAGUCCAACACCGUCUAACUGAGUCACACUGACUGGCUAUAAUGAUUAUAAUAAUAACUGGCUAGAACCAUGGAACCAUAGUUGAGAACUGGUUCCAACUGGCUAGAACCAUGGAACCAGAGUUUAUAACUGGCUAGAACCAUAGAACCAGAGUUUAGAACUAGUUAGAACCAUGGAACCAUAGUUGAGAACUGGUUAGAACUGGCUAGAACCAUGGAACCAUAGUUGAGAACUGGUUAGAACUGGCUAGAACCAUGGAACCAUAGUUUAGAACUGGUUAGAACUGGCUAGAACCAUGGAACCAGAAUUUAGAACUGGCUAGAACCAUAGUUUAGAACUGGUUAGAACUGGCUAGAACCAUGGAACCAUAGUUGAGAACUGGUUAGAACUGGCUAGAACCAUGGAACCAUAGUUUAGAACUGGUUAGAACUGGCUAGAACCAUGGAACCAGAAUUUAGAACUGGCUAAAACUAUGGAACCAGAGUUUAGAACUGGUUAGAACUGGCUAGAACCAGAGUUUAGAACUGGUUAGAACUGGCUAGAACCAUGGAACCAUAGUUUAGAACUGGUUAGAACUGGCUAGAACCACGGAACCAUAGUUUAGAACUGGUUAGAACCAUAGUUUAGAACUGGUUGCGAUACAGAGGUUGAGAUUUAAAAAAACGUGAUGAUCUGGACCACGUGUUUCUGUGACGUAAUACACGUCUUUCUUGAUGACGAGGAGCACGAACUCUUUACUGAUGAAAACACUCGCCUGUCUUGAACCUCUUGAGUAGUCUAAUAUCGUGGCUGCGCGCUGCUAUUGGCCCGUGAGCACAAAGGGGGAAUCCGAUUGGGUUGUGGCGGUGCCUUGCUUUGUUUUUUUUUCUAUGUAACUCUGUUUCUUGGCAAAUUUUAAUGAAACUGUUUUUCUUUUCAUAAUGUGGCAUUUUGUAUUUCAACUUAUAAAGCCCAAUAAAACUUCCCUGAGAAACUCCUGUGUGUUUUUUUUUCCUUCUUUUUAACUUCCUGACUCGAUGAUUGACAGGAGCACAUGGUUUACUUCCCGCCUCUCUGGAAUGUUGGGAAGCCUCCGUCAUCAUCUUGACAACCUCGCUACAGGUCAACUCCCAGCUGUUGGUCUGUGGGAAAGCUGAGACAAACACUACACAC